rnacentral:rRNA from 1 species
GGUUUGAUUCUGGCUCAGAUUGAACGCUGGCGGAUGCUUUACACAUGCAAGUCGAACGGCAGUGACGGACUGGUCUCAGUGGCGAGUGGCGAACGGGUGAGUAAUGCAUCGGAACGUGCCUAGUAGCGGGGGAUUCACGCGAAAGUUGAAGCACGAGCCGUAUGCGUCUUCGGGGAAAGUGGGACCUUCGGCCUCGCACUAUUAGGAGCGGCCGAUAUCGGAUUAGCUAGCUGGUGGGGUAACGUCAUGGGGCGACGAUCCGUAGCUGGUUUUGAGAGGGACGACUAGCCACACUGGGACUGAGACACGGCCCAGACUCCUACGGGAGGCAGCAGGGAAUUUUGGACAAUGGGGGAAACUCCGAUCCAGCCAUCCCGCGUGUGCGAUGAAGGCCUUCGGUUGUAAAGCAUCUUUGGUAGGGAAAGAAACGGCACGGGAUAAUACCCCGUGCAACUGACGGUACCUGCAGAAUAAGCACCGGCUAACUACGUGCCAGCAGCCGCGGUAAUACGUAGGGUGCAAGCGUUAAUCGGAAUUACUGGCGUAAAGCGUGCAGGCGGUUCGAAAGAAAGAUGUGGAAAAUCCUGUAGAGCUUAACCUCUUGGAACUGCAUUUUUAACUACCGAGCUAGAGGUGUCAGAGGGAGGUGGAAUUCCAGCGUGUAGCAGUGGAAUGCGUAGAUAUGCGGAGGAACACCGAUGGCGAAGGCAGCCUUGUGGAUAACACUGACGCUCAUGCACGAAAGCGUGGGGAGCAAACAGGAUUAGAUACCCCAGAAGUCCACGCCCUAAACGAUGUCAACUAGCUGUUGGGGCCUUCGGGCCUUGGUAAAGGCAGCUAACGUUAGUGAAGUUGACCGCCCGGGGAGUACGGUCGCAAGAUUAAAAACUCAAAGCGGAAUUGACGGGACCCGCACAAGCGGUGGACAUGUAUUUAAUUCGACAACGCGAAAAACCUUACUCUACCCUUGACAUGGUCUGGAAUCCCGAAGAGAUUUGGGAGUGCUCGCAAGAGAACCGAACACAGGUGCUGCAUGGCUGUCGUCAGCUCGUGUCGUGAGAUGUUGGGUUAAGUCCCGCAACGAGCUACAACCCUUGUCAUUAGUUGCUACGAAAGGGCACCUACUGAGAUCGCUGGUGACAAACCGAGGAAGGUGAUGACGUCAAGUCCUCAUGGCCCUUAUGGGUAGGGCUUCACACGUCAUACAAUGGUCGGGACAGAGGGUCGCUCAACCCGCGAGGGGGUGGAGCCAAUCCCAGAAACCCGAUCGUAGUCCGGAUCGCAGUCUGCAACUCGACUGCGUGAAGUCGGAAUCGCUAGUAAUCGCGGAUCAGCAUGUCGCGGUGAAUACGUUCCGGGUCUUGUACACACCGCCCGUCACACCAUGGGAGUGGGUUUUACCAGAAGUAGCGUUAGCCUAACCGUAAGGAGGGCGAUUACCACGGUAGGAUUCAUGAUCAGUGGUCGUAAAUAAGGCAG